rnacentral:rRNA from 1 species
CUUUUAUGGAGAGUUUGAUCCUGGCUCAGGACGAACGCUGGCGGCGUGCCUAAUACAUGCAAGUCGAGCGAACAGAGAAGGAGCUUGCUCCUUUGACGUUAGCGGCGGACGGGUGAGUAACACGUGGGCAACCUACCUUAUAGUUUGGGAUAACUCCGGGAAACC